rnacentral:ncRNA from 1 species
AUCUCAUUUAUCAACAGGGAAGGUCAGCACUCCCCUUGAUAAAGACGGAAGAGGCUCGAAAGAGGGCCGAUACGACAUUAGAAAGUUAGGGCAUUGCCACUUACCUUGUGACAUCUUUCACGUUUAA